rnacentral:rRNA from 1 species
UGCAGUCGAGGGGUAACAGAGUAGCUUGCUAUUGCUGACGACCGGCGCACGGGUGCGUAACGCGUAUAGAAUCUACCUUAUACUGAGGGAUAGCCUUUGGAAACGAAGAUUAACACCUCAUAGUAUGUUAGUUUGGCAUCAAGCAAACAUUAAAGGUUACGGUAUAAGAUGACUAUGCGUUCUAUUAGCUAGAUGGUGUGGUAACGGCACACCAUGGCAACGAUAGAUAGGGGCCCUGAGAGGGGGAUCCCCCACACUGGUACUGAGACACGGACCAGACUCCUACGGGAGGCAGCAGUGAGGAAUAUUGGACAAUGGAGGCAACUCUGAUCCAGCCAUGCCGCGUGCAGGAUGACUGCCCUAUGGGUUGUAAACUGCUUUUAUACAGGAAGAAACACCUCUACGUGUAGAGGCUUGACGGUACUGUAAGAAUAAGGAUCGGCUAACUCCGUGCCAGCAGCCGCGGUAAUACGGAGGAUCCAAGCGUUAUCCGGAAUCAUUGGGUUUAAAGGGUCCGUAGGUUGAUAAUUAAGUCAGAGGUGAAAUCCUGCCGCUUAACGGUAGAAUUGCCUUUGAUACUGGUUAUCUUGAGUUAUUAUGAAGUAGUUAGAAUAUGUAGUGUAGCGGUGAAAUGCAUAGAUAUUACAUAGAAUACCAAUUGCGAAGGCAGAUUACUAAUAAUAUACUGACACUGAUGGACGAAAGCGUGGGUAGCGAACAGGAUUAGAUACCCUGGUAGUCCACGCCGUAAACGAUGGAUACUAGCUGUUCGACUUCGGUUGAGUGGCUAAGCGAAAGUGAUAAGUAUCCCACCUGGGGAGUACGUUCGCAAGAAUGAAACUCAAAGGAAUUGA